UUCGCUGAAUUAGUGUUUGGCUUGGUGCGAAUUUUAAGUACUUUCGAGUACAUCACACUAAGGAUUUAUUAUGUCUUUAAAUGCUACAGAAAAAGCUGCAAUCGUUGCAGAAUAUGCUCAAAAAGA
rnacentral:ncRNA from 1 species